rnacentral:rRNA from 1 species
CUAAGAAUAUUCCGCAAUGGACGAAAGUCUGACGGAGCGACGCCGCGUGGAUGAAGAAGGCCGCAAGGUUGUAAAAUCCUUUUGCUGGGGAAGAAUAAGUCCAGGAGGGAAUGCCUGGAUGAUGACAUGAACCGGCGAAUAAGCCCCGGCCAACUACGAGCCAGCAGCCGCGGUAACACGUAGGGGGCAAGCGUUGUUCGGAAUUACUGGGCGUAAAGGGCAUGUAGGCGGUUUAGUAAGCUUGGCGUGAAGGACCACAGCUCAACUGUGGGGUUGGGUUAGGUACUGCUGAACUUGGGUUACGGAGAGNGAGCUAGAGUUCCUGUUGUGGGGGUGGGAUCUGAAGAGAUCAAGAAGAAUACCGAUGGCGAAGGCAAGCUUCUGGCCGAUAACUGGCGCUGGGGUGCGAAAGGGUGGGGAUCAAACA